UGGGGGAUAUUGCACAAUGGGCGAAAGCCUGAUGCAGCGACGCCGCGUGAGGGAAGACGGUCUUCGGAUUGUAAACCUCUGUCUUUGGGGAAGAAAAUGACGGUACCCAAAGAGGAAGCUCCGGCUAACUACGUGCCAGCAGCCGCGGUAAUACGUAGGGAGCAAGCGUUGUCCGGAAUUACUGGGUGUAAAGGGAGCGUAGGCGGGAUCGUAAGUUGGAUGUUUAAUCUACCGGCUCAACUGGUAGCUGCAUCCAAAACUACGAUUCUUGAGUGAAGUAGAGGCAGGCGGAAUUCCUAGUGUAGCGGUGAAAUGCGUAGAUAUUAGGAGGAACACCAGUGGCGAAGGCGGCCUGCUGGGCUUUAACUGACGCUGAGGCUCGAAAGCGUGGGGAGCAAACAGG
rnacentral:rRNA from 2 species